rnacentral:rRNA from 1 species
ACUCCUGCGGGAAGCAGCAGUGGGGAAUUUUGGACAAUGGGCGAAAGCCUGAUCCAGCAAUGCCGCGUGAGUGAAGAAGGCCUUCGGGUUGUAAAGCUCUUUUGUCAGGGAAGAAACGGUGAAAGCUAAUAUCUUUUGCUAAUGACGGUACCUGAAGAAUAAGCACCGGCUAACUACGUGCCAGCAGCCGCGGUAAUACGUAGGGUGCAAGCGUUAAUCGGAAUUACUGGGCGUAAAGCGUGCGCAGGCGGUUUUGUAAGUCUGAUGUGAAAUCCCCGGGCUCAACCUGGGAAUUGCAUUGGAGACUGCAAGGCUAGAAUCUGGCAGAGGGGGGUAGAAUUCCACGUGUAGCAGUGAAAUGCGUAGAUAUGUGGAGGAACACCGAUGGCGAAGGCAGCCCCCUGGGUCAAGAUUGACGCUCAUGCACGAAAGCGUGGGGAGCAAACAGGAUUAGAUACCCCGGUAGUCCC